rnacentral:lncRNA from 1 species
CUGGGAGAUGGUGGACGGACCAGGUCCGUAGGGAACCCUACCGGGAUUGUGGUCUCACAUGCCGGACGGGGUAUGGAGAUAUUAUGGUUUUGGCACCCAUAUCGGACGGGGUAUGGGGACGGCCCGUUUCACCCUCAUACCGGACGGGGUAUUGAGGUUUAUGGUUUUGGCGCCCAUACCGGACGGGGUAUGGGGACGGCCCGUUUCACCCUCAUACCGGACGGGGUAUUGAGGUUCAUGGUUUUGGCGCCCAUACCGGACGGGGUAUGGGGACGGCCCUGGAAACUGAUUAUGAAUGUUAAAGGUUAACGGGUAGCGGAACCCCUAUGGACUC